CCUACGGGUGGCAGCAGUGAGGAAUAUUGGUCAAUGGACGAGAGUCUGAACCAGCCAAGUCGCGUGAAGGAUGACUGCCCUAUGGGUUGUAAACUUCUUUUAUAAAGGAAUAAAACGAGGCACGUGUGCCUUUUUGCGUGUACUUUAUGAAUAAGGAUCGGCUAACUCCGUGCCAGCAGCCGCGGUAAUACGGAGGAUCCGAGCGUUAUCCGGAUUUAUUGGGUUUAAAGGGUGCGUAGAUGGGUUGUUAAGUCAGUUGUUAAAGUUUGCGGCUCAACCGUAAGAGUGCAAUUGAUACUGGCAGGCUGGAGUACAGGUGAGGUAGGCGGAAUGCGUGGUGUAGCGGUGAAAUGCUUAGAUAUCACGAAGAACCCCGAUUGCGAAGGCAGCGUACUA
rnacentral:rRNA from 1 species